AUAUAAUACAAAGCGGUUUCAGCCAUGCAAAACACACAAAUGGAUGAGGACAGGGCAAUGGCUAGGGAAGAAGCAACAGGACGAGAAGUCAAGUACAGAGGCGUUCGAAGGCGGCCUUGGGGCAAAUUCGCUGCUGAGAUACGCGACUCCACACGCCAAGGAGCACGGGUUUGGUUGGGAACUUUUAACACGGCGGAGGAAGCAGCAAGAGCGUAUGAUCGAGCAGCUUAUGCAAUGAGAGGCCAGUUAGCCAUUCUUAAUUUUCCUAACGAGUACACUCUUGCAAGUGGUGGUUCUGGUAGCGUUACUGCUUCUUCUUCUUCCUCUUCACCGUCAAUGCAAAAAAAUGUUAUCGAGUUGGAGUACCUGGAUGAUAGAUUGCUGGAGGAGAUGCUUGACCAAGAAGAGCAAAAGAGCAAGAAAAAGUGAAUUAGCUACUCUAGCCCAGCUCCUUGGCGCUUAUCCUCCACUAUCAAUUCCAUUAUAGUUAGCACUCAAUCCCUACCUAUCAUUGAGUUUUCCUACAUUCCGAAAGAAGCAAACUUUGUUGAGGACUGUUUAGCAAAGCAGGGGUCAUCGCAGAUAGAGGAUUUUGUUGCCUACUUCUAAUUCUAUUGCUGCUCUAUCUCCAGCAUCACCUGGAAUUUAUCUGCUGUUUUGUUAGUGUGUCCUUGCUGUGAUGGUUUUGUCUUACCUUUAUUGCUUUAACUUUGUUGCCUUGGUUUCUGUUUUUUUCUUGGUCUUGGAUCAGUUUUGAGCUUCGGCUCUGUUUGCUUUGGUCUUGGUUUUUCUGUUUCGUAUGUUCAGGUUUUUUGGCUUAGCAUGAUGCAUUAAAAGUGAAGUGUAUUCCAAUUAAUUUAAAAAAAAAACAGAAACCAAGGCAACAAAGUU
rnacentral:misc_RNA from 1 species